GCCAGUGUGGCUCAGUGGAUAGAGCGUCAGCCUGUGGACUGAAGGGUCCCGGGUUCGACUCCCAGUCAAGGGCA
rnacentral:tRNA from 1 species